rnacentral:rRNA from 1 species
GACGAAGGGGGCUAGCGUUGCUCGGAAUUACUGGGCGUAAAGCGCGCGCAGGCGGCCAUUCAAGUCAGGGGUGAAAGCCCAGAGCUCAACUCUGGAACUGCCCUUGAAACUGUAUGGCUUGAGUAUGAGAGAGGUGAGUGGAAUUCCCAGUGUAGAGGUGAAAUUCGUAGAUAUUGGGAAGAACACCGGUGGCGAAGGCGGCUCACUGGCUCAUUACUGACGCUCAGGCGCGACAGCGUGGGGAGUCAAACAGG